AAGCUGAGAGGGGAAUUAUGUGAGUCAGAAGGAAGCCUUGGAAGCUGGGAGCCCCAGCCAGCUGAAGGUUUCAGGACUGGGGCUUUUCCCCUCAUUCUCUCCUCUAGCCUGGAGUGGAGGUGUCACCAGGGUCAGAGCUUCAGCCUGGCAUGAAUGUUUGACUCCCAUUCACUUCAAGUGGGUCGUCCUAAUGCCAACAGGACUUUCUGUGACUGUCCUGACCUCGGAAGGAAGGAAGAAAACAAGUUUACUUGUAUCCUUGGAGAGACCAACUCUUGUGCCGUGGUUGCAGCAAAAUGGGUGAAUGGGGACAGGAUGAGGACAAAUGGCUUUGUGUACUCCAUCUGUCAUCUUUAUGUUCCUCUAGGAUAUAAAAAUGUGAGUCAUCUGUCUGUGGGGCUGAUGGAGAGAAAAUGAACCCUUAAAUAAUCUCUUUCUUCCUCUUUUUAGUUGGUUAAAUCAAAUAAGCUUUGUGCAUAGAGACCUCUGCAAAGCAGAUGUGCCUUAAAUCCUGUGCUUCACUAAAGUUUGGGCCAUUUCUGUCUUGAGCUCAUCUCUCCCUCACGACACAGCUCAAAGGAGGGUGAGAUUUAGGAGAAGGAAAUAAUUUUCUCUUAACAUCCUUUUGCCUUUUUAGAUAUUUUAAAAUAAAAAAAAAAAUGCUCAUGCCAUAGUGUACACUUGCUUUGACAUCUUCAGGGUUCCUGCUUGCACUGCAGGUUACCCCUCUGACUACAAGUCACCUGAAGCUCAGUGUGGGCCACUAAUGGCUUCACAUGGCUUGAUGUGACUGUUCAUCAUCACCAGGGAAAACAGCCCAGCAAAAGCCCCAUCCCAAUGUUCCACUUGGGCUGGUGCAUUUCAGUCUGAUUCCAGGAAGAUGCUCCAACCACUCCCGACUGAGGUGGCCAGUCCCUUUCUCACCUGCCUUCACACAUCAGGGCUGUCUUGAGCCCCUCCAUUUGUGCGGGGUCAGUGUUUGCUCCUGCAGGAACAAGGCUGGAAUUCCCGGGUCAGCCUCUUUUCCAGGUUUUGGGAGCCAGCCUUUCACUUCAAGGUCUUGCCUACCUCAUUUUCCUCACAGAACAGAGUUGGCAAUCCCUCUCCUCAGGAAAGCAGCAGGAUGAAAGCAGAUUCCAGCAGGUUCUCUGCCUCACCUCCUUGCCAUCCAGCUAAAUUCAGAUGGUGUCUUUCCUCGCUAGACCUCCGUAACAAAAAUCCUGGACCUAAAAGUUAGCAAAACUGGUUUUGAAAUCAUGAAUUAAAUAGGUUGGAAAAGACCUCUGAGAUUAUGAAGUCCAAAAAAUUCUCUUCCACGUGCUGUGGGAUGUGGUUAAUUAUUCAGAGCUGAAGUAAUUGGAGUAAAACCCAUCUGAGAUGCAAGAUCCCUACAGAAGAUUGGGAGGGAUGAAGUCACAGCCUAGUAUUUUUGCCCCACUUUCCCUGCAAUCACAAGUGUCCAGGGAUAAAGCAGCAGGAAUUCAGCUUUAACUGGGCCACAGGGAGGGCACUAACCAUGGCUGAACCCUGCCUGUCCCUGGAUCUGGGCCAUCCCUGACCUGAAGGAGCUGCACCUCUGGAGCCAGUCCUGAGGGCUGCAUGGGAAGGGCUGAUAAUUGCAAACUCCAUGUUUUCCUCCAGCUUUCCUCUUCCUCAGCAAUAUUGGGACAGGAAAUAUGAAGGGAUUUAUUACCAGAGAUAGAGCUCUUUGUUUUCCCUUUGCAAAUUGAGCACGUUUGGGCACGCCCAAGGCCCUGAGUGCUCUCCCUUGGGGCUCAGUUUGGUUUUCUGCACCCUUAGUGCCAGCUGCAAUAGCCCGUGGCAUCUGCAGCAUUCUUGGGAGCUGGGCAGCACUGCACAGGACCUGGGGAAUUUGCUGUGGGGCACCCAACACCCCUGUGCGAGCAUCACAAUCCAGCCCUCAGCCUCUCUUCCCUGUCAUGGUUCCUGUGAACAGGUUGGUCAAUGUUGCUUGUUCAAAAGAUUCCCAGAACCCAGGGAGGGGUUGUGUUUGCCUCUUCCCCUCCCUACCUCCACCAGAAUCUGAGCACAUCCAUGCCUGAGGUUGCUGCAGGAGAAAGGAAUCAAUUUUUUCUGCUUAAUUUGUGUACUUAAUGACCUCGAGAUAGAGUUGUUUUCCUUUGGCUCGAGCCAGCACCAGGAUUACUUGGAGCUCCUCCUAGCCCUUGUUCUUGCUCCCCAGUCACGCUCAGAGGAUCUCUGCUAUCAGCACUCAGUGGCAUUUGCCCCCCAGUAUUCCCAAACACCUCUUCCCAUUCCUCAGCCCUGGAAGAAUGGGCACCACACCACAGGCAGCACCUGAAGGCUGCGUGCCACAGAAUCACAGACUGGUUUGCGUUGGAAAGGACUUUAAAGAUCAUCUGGUUCCAAGCCCCUGCUGUGUCCCAGGUGUCAGCUUCUCCUUGGUCCCUCUGUCCAUGUCAGGGCCACACCUGAAGUGCUGCCACUGAAACAGCCAUGAGCCCCGGGCCUCACUGCCUUCCACAAGAAAUAGGCCUGACAGGUCAAUCCUCUGAGCAAAGGGCUGCUUAGUGAACCAAAACGUUGCUGUGCAGGCCGGUGUGCCCCUGAACUCCUGAGGAGCCCCUCAGGGGGUGACACUGCCUUUCCCUGGGGAUACAGGCAGUGCUGCAAGCUGGAAACCUCGGCCAUUCAAAGGUUUAAACACAAGGGACAGCCUUGGUGUGGUGUGGAAACCUUUGAACCCCUCAGGGGAAUGCCCAGGGCCUUGCCCUGGAAGAAUACUCCAUAGAGUCUGCACCUAGGCUGAAAGGAAAGACUUCCCUCAUGGUGCCUCGCAACGCUGUGUGAUCCACUCCAGUUUUGCUCGCCCUGUAUGUCCCUAAUUCUCGUGGUUUUUCAUUUCCCUGUUUCUCCAGAGGUUGUGGUAUCCCUGGUGGCCUGCCCUGUGUCCCCUACAGGGUACUGCCCUUUGUACCACCCCUGUGCCCUCAGACCAUUGAUUCCUGCCCCAAUACUUAACCACCGAGCAUCACACGCUCCUGGUCUUUUGUCCCAGAUUCCCUUCGGUGCGCUGGAAUAAACCUUUGCUGAAAUUUAUCAUACAAAAGGCAUUUCUUGCCUCUCUUGGCUGAGGUAGCUGUGGUGUGUGUAGUGUGUGGGCCCGACUGCUUUGCCUGAAUCCUCCCCAGGCAUCCU